CGUCUAGUUCCAGCCUCAGCAUGCGCCAACUCCACUUUCUUCUUCUUCUUGACUAUUUAUUUUAAUAUUAUUUUUUCCCUUCAAUUUUCCCUCGUUUUCUCACUAGCCAAACGACUCAUCUGCGCCUGAAAACUGCAAAUGUCAACUACUGCUGCUGAUGCAGAAGAAGAUAACCCAUGGGAGCAAGUAUUGAGAAAGCUGUUGCCCGCAGGUGCACCUUUACCAGAUGAAGACCACCUCGAUUACUCCAUCGCUGUCGAAUAUCAAGGCCCUCCUGUUCCUUACCAAGUUCCUCGUGUUGAUCCACUCAAUCUUGAUUCUCUCUCCGUUCGUACUUCUUCUCUAGUGUCCAUCGCCGACGACAAGGAUCUU
rnacentral:misc_RNA from 1 species